CACGGGGGUUGCGAGCGUUGUCCGGAAUUACUAGGCGUAAAGGGCAGGCAGGCGGAUCCAUAAGUUUAUCGUGUAAGGCGUCGGCUUAACCGGCGUAGGGCGGUAGAUACUGUGGAUCUGGAAUGCGGUUGGGGAAGACAGAAUUCCUGGUGUAGCGGUGGAAUGCGCAGAGAUCAGGAGGAAUACCGAAGGCGAAGGCAGUCUUCCAAGCCGUUAUUGACGCUCAACUGCGAAGGUGUGGGUAUCAAACAGGAUUAGAUACCCUGGUAGUCCCU
rnacentral:rRNA from 1 species